rnacentral:lncRNA from 1 species
AGUCAGUAGAGAGAGAAACAAACUAGCGAGAGAGAGAUGAAUUUACAUGGCGAAAAUCCAGGAUGCCAUCGGUUGCACCGGCCGAUUUGCUCUGUUGCCACAUGGAUAUUAUUUACAAAUGGAUGUUAUGUUGGUAGUGCUUGGUACUUAUUGUCAGUCAUGGCGGGCUUGGUACAUGCUUAAUUGCUUAGUACUGAGCAACACGUGCUACACAGACUUAUUCUCAUCCUCAUGUAAUUCUCAUUUUUCAAUUCUCAUUUUUCAAUUCUCAUUUUCAAUUCUCAUUUCUCAUUUGCAUUCCUUACUCUCGCAUGGUGCAAUUCAUUUCAAAGAUGGUUUUGAUCAACGCUUGCACGUGAUCGGUGCAACACUUGGGAUUUGCCACUUUACGAUACAGGUUCAACUCCUUCAUUGGCGAAAUAGACUGUUUACACCCGCGAUAAUGAAACUGAUAAUAGUGUGAAUCAUGAAUGAUAUUCGUCAGAGUAAUUUUGAAGAUGCACGAAACGAGAUAACCUUAAAAUUCCAAUGCCGAAUGAAUGCCGCUUAUGUAAACACUAAACACUGAGAUAAAACAAAGUAAGCACGGUGUAUACCGACAAAACCAACCACUGACCACAGCUUUUCGUAUUAUUGGGAAGUAAAUUUAUCAUUUAAAAUAUUUUCUUUUCCCUAAACUUACUUUUUGGCUUUACUACUGCUUUGUAAAUUUUAUUUUCCUCAAGAAGUGAAAUAAUAAAUAUGGAAGAAUGGAAUGGAUGAGCCUGUACUGGAACUAUCCGAACCGAAGUAUAAAAUUGAAUAUCCUAAUCCAUAUGGCAACAGAGCGAAUCGGCCAGUGCAACCGAUGGCACCCCUCAAUCCUGGAUUUUCGCCAUUGAAAAUUCAUCUCUCUCUCGCUAAUUUUUCUCUCUCUCUACUGACUGUUUCUCUCUCUCUGCCAAUUUUCCCUCUCUUUGCCCUCUCUCUCCCUCUCUCCGCCCCUUUUCUCUCUCUCCAGUCUUCACUCCCCCUCUCUCUAGCCCUUUUCUCUCUCUCCAGUCUUUCUCUCUCUCAAGAAAAAGUUAAUACUUUUUUUACAAACGGCCCUUCAUAGGUCUGCUUGCUGUAGAAUUUGUCUACAUUUUUCAUAAAAAAAAGUUUCGUAUUAGAAUAUUAAGUUUCAUACACUGUUUGCCCUAGACAUUUAAAAAUUACCAUGUUAAUUGUUACUUUGAGGUACUUUGAGUAACUUUUAUUCGGUCAGAUCAACCAAUAGUAGGUUCUUGGUUAAUCGAUAUAAAUUUUGGAUGUUACUCUGUUUGUAGGUUACUCUGAGUCAUCUGGAGAUGAAGAGAAUGUCCUAGUGAGCUAAUGCACUAUUUUUCCUCUUGGUGUCACUCAGAGGUUGCGACUCGCUAUGCGCGUUAGAAUAUCACUCACGUGAUCCGGGUUCGAUCCUGGCGGUUUGUGCCUAAUUUUUA